CAGUGCCAGCCGCCGCGGUAAUACAGAGAGUGCGAGCGUUAAUCGGAAUCACUGGGCGUAAAGCGCGCGUAGGUUGAUAUUUAAGUCGGAUGUGAAAGCCCUGGGCUUAACUUAGGAAUUGCAUCCGAUACUGGAUGUCUCGAGUAUAGUAGAGGGAAGUGGAAUUUCCGGUGUAGCGGUGAAAUGCAUAGAUAUCGGAAAGAACACCAGUGGCGAAGGCGGCUUCCUGGACUAAUACUGACACUGAGGUGCGAAAGCGUGGGGAGCAAACAGGAUUAGAUACCCGUGUAGUCCUU
rnacentral:rRNA from 1 species